UUCGCAGGGACCGCCGUGAACUGGUUGAAACCCACCCCUGCCCCUCCCUCCCUCCCUCUCUCUCCCUCUCGCCAUAAUCCCUUCUGAGUAUAUUGAGGGCUUCUCCACAUCUGGUAUCUGAAAUGGUCCACCUUUACAUCUGGAGAUAAAACCAAAUGAAGAAACCAAACCCGCUUUCUAGAUAUAAGAGAUCAUGUUGACCAUAUUUGAGGUGAAGGGGUAGCAUCUUCCCACACUCGAGGGGCUUUCACAGAGAAUAGGGGGUCAUUCUCCAAAGUACUAGAAGGUAGAGGAAGCAAUGGAUGGAAACUCAUUAAGGA